GGUGUAGGUGGCUUUGUAAGUCAGGUGUGAAAGCCUGGGGCUCAACCCCAGAAGUGCAUUUGAUACUGCGAAGCUUGAGUGCCGGAGAGGUUACUAGAAUUCCAGGUGUAGUGGUGAAAUACGUAGAUAUCUGGAGGAAUACCGGAGGCGAAGGCGGGUAACUGGCCGGACACUGACACUCAGACCCGAAAGCGUGGGGAUCAAACA
rnacentral:rRNA from 1 species